rnacentral:rRNA from 1 species
CCUACGGGAGGCAGCAGUGAGGAAUAUUAGUCAAUGGGCGGAAGCCUGAACCAGCCAAGUAGCGUGCGGGAUGAAGGCCCUACGGGUCGUAAACCGCUUUUGCACGGGGAUAACACCCUCCACUUGUGGAGUUCGGCAGGUACCGUGCGAAUAAGGGCCGGCUACUUCUGUGCCAGCAGCCGCGGUAAGACGGAAGGACCGGGCGUUAUCCGGAGUAAUGGGGCUUAAAGGGAGCGUCGGCGGGCGUUCAAGUCAGCUGUAAAAUCGCGCGGCUCAACUGCGCCCCGCAGUUGAAACUGGACGCCUUGAGUUCACGACAGGCAGGCGGAAUUCGUGGUGUAGCGGUGAAAUGCAUAGAUAUCACGAGGAACCCCGAUUGCGAAGGCAGCCUGCCGGGGUGCGACUGACGCUGAGGCUCGAAGGUGCGGGUAUCAAACAGGAUUAGAUACCCGGGUAGUC